rnacentral:misc_RNA from 1 species
GAAAUGUGAUAAGUAAUGUGAAUUGCAGAAUUCCGUGAAUCAUCGAAUCUUUGAACGCACAUUGCGCCCUCUGGCAUUCCGGGGGGGAUGCCUGUCCGAGCGUCAUUACGCACCCUCAAGCCCGGCUUGUGUGAUGGGCCCCGGCGUCUCGUUCGCGAGACGGGCCCGAAAGGCAGCGGCGGCGUCGACCCGAUGAGCCCGAGCGUAUGGGGACUUCUGUCACACGUUCGCGGUGCGGACCGGCGCCUGCUUGACUUUUCUGAUUAUCCAGGUUGACCUCGGAUCAGGUAGGGAUACCCGCUGAACUUAAGC